rnacentral:SRP_RNA from 1 species
GGUCGGGUCCCAUGGACGCUCGGCUCGUGAACCUGGUCAGGGCUUGACCGCAGCAGCCAUAAGCGACGUCGGUCGAGCCGUGGAUCGCCUGGCCGCC